GAUGAACGCUGGCGGCGUGCCUAAUACAUGCAAGUCGAGCGAACGGACGAGAAGCUUUCUUCUCUGAUGUUAGCGGCGGACGGGAGAGUAACACGUGGAUAACCUACCUAUAAGACUGGGAUAACUUCGGGAAACCGUAGCUAAUACCGGAUAAUAUUUUGAACCGCAUUGUUCAAAAGUGAAAGAAGGUCUUGCUUUCACUUAUAGAUUGAUCCGCGCUGCAUUAGCUAGUUGGUAAGGUAACGGCUUACCAAGGCAACGAUGCAUAGCCGACCUGAGAGGGUGAUCGGCCAGACUGGAACUGAGAAACGGUCCCGACUCCUACGGGAGGCAGCAGCACGGAAUCUUCCGCAAUGCGGGAGAGCCUGACGGAGCAACGCCGCCUGAGUGAUGAAGGUCUUCGGCUCGUAAAACUAUGUUAUUAGGGAAGAACAUAUGUGUAAGUAACUGUGCACAUCUUGACGGUACCUAAUCAGAAAGCCACGGCUAACUCCGUG
rnacentral:rRNA from 1 species